GUGAAUCAUCGAAUUUUUGAACGCAUAUUGCACUCUCUGGUAUUCCGGAGAGUAUGCCUGUUUGAGGGUCAGCCUAAAAAAAAAAUCGACAUAGUCGCUGUUUCGCGGUGACAUUCGUCGGAAAUUGGGUCAUCUUAAACCUUUGGGUUUUAAGCUGCUUAAAAUUUUCUUUACGAUUCCACGAACGUUUUUAAGAUUUACUUCUUAUACGUUUAAGGAAUCGAUCUUUAUUAUACGUGUCCGUUGAAUCGGAUAGCGUCCCACAAUAUUUC
rnacentral:misc_RNA from 1 species